AAUAUUUCCGAAGUUCGUCAUCGAACGAGUCGAAAACUUCGAUGAACGUUCAACAAAAUUCUUGUUUGAAAUAGAAAAUUUGAGCAUCUACGAAAUAUUCCUGUCGAGUCAAAAUCGGAAAUCGAAACUUCGCUAAUUGACUGGUCAAAGUGGAUGUUUUUGUGUUUAUUUCUCCGUUUUAUGGUGUUUGACACGAAAGAGUGCCAAAAUUCCACCGAUUAUUGCAACGUUUAUUUUAAAGUAUCGGACGAAACGUCACAGCAAGACGAACGACGACACUCGAUCCAGUUGAACCAACCACUGACAAAGAUGUCGCUGCUGUAGCAACGACAUUUCUCAUUCUCGAAAAUCGGACAAUGGAAUUCGUGCUUCUGUGGUUUUGAGACAAAUUUUAUAGAAUGCCUGCUGAAUUAUUCAGAUGUCUAGCUGUUGCACAACGUUCGGACUAUAACAGCACCGAGAAAAUCAAGUUUCGUACAACGCAACGUUUAACCUCCAAGAUGACGUAGGUUUUUUGCAUACGGUAUAACUUUCGAUGACGUGACGACUCCGAGGGGUUCGAGGUUCACUCAAUUCGAAUGAUUAUACAUGCAGGAAAAAUAGAAGAGAGAAACAAAAAUUUCAUAACCAAAAGAGAUGCGUUUGUUGAUUUUUUUUUUUUCAAUCUGAAUAUGCUCGUAGUCCGGAAUGAAAUUAAACGAUUCUCGGUAGUACGAUGAACCGGUGGAGUAAUUUGACUUCGACACUCGUAAUUCCAUUCGUAUUUAUUUUCCUCGCUUUUGUUUUUCAUCUACUACGUUUACAGUGCUGGUUGCACGAUGACGUCCAUGAAGUACGGAUAAUGAAGGCGAAGUCGUUCGGUUGUCGCGAUUCGCGAUAGUGAGUAGUAAUAUGGUGGUGGCAGCACCGUGGUGGCUAGUGGCUGGCGCCGCCGGACGUUCAACAAUGGCCAAGCACGAUUUUUCCCCCCUCGGUCCGGACUCUACUCGUGCUUGGUCGACCAGUCCACCGCCCGCGCCUCGACGAGACUCCCAUGGCCGUCAAACACCCCCGACUUGAGCGUUGGCUCGAAGCGCACCGCGAUUCAAACAAGCUCAGCGAAUCACUUCGGUUCCUGGCGGCCUCCGAGCGGUAGAAAUCGUUUUCGGGAGCCGUUACGAGUAAAUUAUUAUGAGAAUUCUGAAUUAUUCGUACUUCGGAGCCGUUUUAACAGCUGUCAUCUCCGAUUAAUUCGAUGCAAUAAUGUAACAGGUAUUUCGUUGCUGAAAGGUACGUACGAAGCUAAAGCGGAUAUGCAACAAUGAUGAAUUCCCCUGGAAACUGCGACGAAAAUGCGUCAGUCGUACUGAGAAGUCAUUCCGAUGUCAAUUUCAAGUCAAAAUUUUCAAUAAUACAAUGAACUUUUGAGAAGCACAAACCUGUUGAGCGUCAUCUUGAGAAAAUCGAUAAACAAUUGCCGAAAAUUAGGUUAAUUUCAAUAGUUAUUGUCUUUAGAUUCGCAUAUUUCGAAUUCGACACUAAUGCACCUAACCUACAAAUAAACAGUUCGAUCCAACGAGCUGUUCUUACAGUACAUAACGAAAGCACAGACCCGUGGACAAACAGAAUGAUGUUUCUUCCAUCUCAAAAAAGGUUUCGAGUAACAUUGAAUUUCGUAAAAUUAACUUCUUUUUACAAAUUUUCACAAUAACUUCCUUUACGAGUGUGAAAAUCAUAUUCCAGCUGAAAUCCUUUAUGAAACGAGCAUGAAAUGUGAGUGAGCAAAAAUAAGUGCACAGAAAGUUGGUUGGGAAAAUUUGUUUUGAACGGUGAUCGCUCGAACUCAUCCCUACGGAAGGUUCUCUCUCGUGUAGUAGUUGUACAAGCAGGCAACGAUUGCGCGUUGAGCUGCGGGGAAUGCGUCGAGAGACCGGCGUGGUAACGGGAGGGGCGAGCUAUAAGAGAGCCGCAGGUGAGGGGCGGAGGCCAGUUGACUUCGAUCCGCCGAGCGUGCAGUAUCGUGAGGCAGCAGUGAAGUUCGUACCGAGAAGUUGACCGUCAUAGACGAAAGUAAUCACUUUAUCGACGUUAAGACAGUCUGGACUUUGAAGAAAUCAAAAAAUAAAAACCUAUAAAGAAACUGUGAGUUAUAUCACUGCGAUAAGAAUAUAAAAACGGAUCGAGUGUCUGAAAAAACGGGAACUGUGUGUUUCGUUUAUUAUUUUGUUUUAUUGGCAUCGUUGUGAAUUCGAAGUGUCAUCAUCGAAAGUUAACAAAAUUCAAAAACGUUGUUGCGUUUGCACGCGAGAAAGGCCAAUCGAACGGAAGUACAGUGAAAAUAAAGGCAAACCACACCGAAAAAUAAAGACUCGUGAGAAAAAAUAUAUUCCAAAUAAAUCGCGAGCAGAGGGUGAAGCACGGAAGACAAAAAAUUGCGCACCUCGUCUCGUUCUCACGGUGAAUUUGCAGACGGGAACAUAGAGGGGAUCCCCCCCGUAGUGAAUCGAGGAGGAGAGUGACGAUCGAUAAACCGAGGGAGUAAAGAGAGAGGACCGGUGUCUGUGGCUCCCUUUCGCCCUCCAUCUCCCUCGCUCCUUCGCUGUUACCGGGAACGUGCGCGUGCUGAUCGUCGCGAAGAGCAGAAAAGAUAGGAGAGCCUUGCGGGAGAGUUUAUUGGUGAAAUAAAAAUAUAAAAUAAAAUAAACUAGAGUUUUUCGAAACUUCCGUACCUCUCGAGCCAUCAAUCGAGAGAUAUCGAGUGAAAAAUUCGCUCUUUAACGAUAAAGAUUAAAAUCCAACAAGGA